CAGUAGCCGCGGGAAUACGGAGGGUGCAAGCGUUAAUCGGAAUUACUGGGCGUAAAGCGUGCGUAGGCGGUUCGUUAAGUCUGUUGUGAAAGCCCCGGGCUCAACCUGGGAAUGGCAAUGGAUACUGGCGAGCUAGAGUGUGUCAGAGGAUGGUGGAAUUCCCGGUGUAGCGGUGAAAUGCGUAGAGAUCGGGAGGAACAUCAGUGGCGAAGGCGGCCAUCUGGGACAACACUGACGCUGAGGCACGAAAGCGUGGGGAGCAAACAGGAUUAGAUACCCCAGUAGUCCAUGUCUCUUAUAC
rnacentral:rRNA from 1 species